UACGGGGGGGGCAAGCGUUGUUCGGAAUUCCUGGGCGUAAAGGGCUCGUAGGCGGCCAACUAAGUCAGACGUGAAAUCCCUCGGCUUAACCGGGGAACUGCAUCUGAUACUGGAUGGCUUGAGUUCGGGAGAGGGAUGCGGAAUUCCAGGUGUAGCGGUGAAAUGCGUAGAUAUCUGGAGGAGCACCGGUGGCGAAGGCGGCAUCCUGGACCGACACUGACGCUGAGGAGCGAAAGCCAGGGGAGCAAACGGG
rnacentral:rRNA from 1 species